rnacentral:lncRNA from 1 species
UUGGACAUUUUCUCUCCCUCGCUCAAACCGAGAAGCUUCGCGUUUCCUUAAAGGUUUUGUCUUCUUCUUCUUUUUAAACUGGAUAUUAUGCGUUUCGUCGUCGCAUCCCAUUCUUUCUUAUUUAAUUAAACCUGCAAUAUUGAACUACCUCCUUCCAAGUAAAAUCAAAACAGGGUUUUUUUUUUUUUUUAGCUUUUCCUUCCUUGUGAGUGGAAGAGCGCCUUCGGGUAUUUUCAAGGUUAGUUUCGUCCGAAGGUUAGUUUCGUCGCGACGGAAUUAAUGUUUCCAAAACCGACUGGAAAAAUUAUUGUAAAUAAAAAAAUACAUUUUUAUUAAAAAAACAAUAUUUUUCUGUUACUUUAUAUAAAUUUAAUGUAUAGAUAAAAUAAUUUAUUUAAUAAUAUAAUAUUUAAUGAUAAUUGUUUUCAUAAUAUAUCGAAUCUAUCGAAUCAAUUAUCGAUCGAUGUGGGAGAUCGAUUUGACUCAUAUUUUAAUUUACGCAUACUUUUUAUUUUUAUGUAAAAGUAAUUACAAUUUGUGAAACAUGAAUUAAGAAUAAUUAGCUUUAUUAGUGUGAAAAACACAAAGUUCAAAACGGUAUAUAUCGCAGAAGCACUCAUCUUGACGCGUGAAGUUAGCGCUAGAGAUGAUCAUCUCUGACUCGAGCCAACUUAACACAGUUCUCUGUUUUAGGGGUUCACAUGUCUUCCGGAACGGAACGGGACGCUGGGUUCACUUUCUUUCCGGAACGGACGGGGUUCACUUUCUUUUCGGAACGGAACGGGACGCGGGACACAUCAGCUCCCGAUCGAGUCUUCUUAACAAAUCAUAUAAUCGAAUCCGUAACAAUCCUGAGAUGCAUUGGCCCUGGGAGCGGAUAUCAUUGCGACGUUCGAUUGAAUCCGUAACAAUCUUGAGAUGCAUUGGCGCUGGGAGCGGAUAUCGUUGCGACGUCCGAUUGAACGCAACAAAUGUGAAACGACCGCCGCCGCUAGAACAAGUGAUAUCACAAAGUAUUUAAUCGAAGGCGACGAAGGUGGAACGACCCAGCGUUGUAUAGAACGGCAUCGCAGAUCAUAACUGUAUCAUCGUUGCUAACUAACGAUCCGCAGUUUCUGAGAGGAGGAGGAGGCCUAAGAGAGGCAUCGGGCAUCAGUGGAGCAACUUAGCGAAUCAUCGUAGCGACGCUGCUGCUGAUAACUCCACUGCUGCGCAUCGGUCGGUGAGAGAUAAAGAUUGUAUAUUAAUAAUUAAUUGCAUGUGUUGCAUGAAUUAGAUUUAUAUAAAAAAUUAUUAUUUAACACCAAGAUUCUCUUGCUGUAAACCAAAUAAAGCAAUAAUGUAAUUUUUAAAAAGUAUGUGAUGUGAGAGUCUAUAAAUUGUUUUUUUACAAAAAGAAUGUGUAUAUAAAGUUUAGGGAUUUUAACGCAUUAAGUUCGAUAAAACGCAAUGUCUCUUGCAACCAGGAAGAGGUUAAAGAGGAAAUUUAAAUAAGAGACGAAUAAUCAAUCAUUCUAAGAUGUAAGAUGAAACAUUGAAAAGACAGAAACGUCCUCGAUUAAUCGCUGAUCAUUUUUAAUUAUCCCUAAUUAUUAAUCACUUAAUUUGUAAUAUUUAAUUGUAAUUAUUAAUUAAACAAUUAAUUAAAUUUUGUCUAAUACUGCUGUAUAUGAUUUUAAAUCUCAUAAACUUUUCAUCUCAAUCUUGAUUCGUUGUUACUUAUUAUGUUUAUUCUCAAACGCAUUUUAUGUAAAUGUUCAGAAAUAGAGAUUCAAAGAGAAUAAAUAAUUUCUAUUUAAAUUAAUAAUUUUAUCUUAUUCAUGUAUUUAGGUUUUAAUGAUAUUUCUUUACAUGUAAAAAUAUAUACUUUUUAAAAAUUACAUUAUUGCUUUAUUUGGUUUACAGCAAGAGAAUCUUGGUGUUAAAUAAUAAUUUUUCUGUGAACUUAAUAUUUGUAGCUAAACUGUUCUAAUUUAGAAUUUCUUUUUCUUUAAAAAAAUUUUCACAGUAUAUUCAUUGAAACUUUAUCUUUUUUAAUACUGGUCGAAUCAUUAUUUGAAUCUGAAACAUGCAAAAGAUUUCAUCGAUAAUAGAAAAGUGAUAAAGGAUAGCUACGGACGGCAAUGUAAAAUAACCACAUAAUCGAAUACAAUGAAUCAUGAUUUUAUUUGUUAUAUAAUAAUAUCUACAAUAAAAAUACCAUAUCGUUUGAAAAACAAUUUUCGUUACAAUUAUACAGUAAUUUUAUAUAAUAAUAUAUUUAGGUUUUUUCGUUCCAAAUAAGACGUAGCGAUGAACAUACACCUCGCGCAGUGGGAGUGAGAAAAUACAUUAUUUUUUUGUCGCAAAUUUCGCGUGUGGUUUCGUCACUCAGCGUGUGAAUUUGUGUAUGUGUAUGUGUGUAUCUCUUGUUUUUUGUUUUUUUCUUUCCCCUCGAGUGUCGGCCUUUUGCACGAACACCCGAGACGAGCGUGACCCGCAUCGCGUGCGUGGGAUCGCAUCGCGAUUUUAUUUCUUCUCUCCAACUUUCGGUCUCACGUUAUUCGGUCAUUCGAAUUUCCGAAAUAAAGGAGUCCUCGUCGUUAGAGAUGAUCGCAUGAAUCGCCAUCUCGAGUGUCCCGUUUCCUUCGUGCCUUGCACGCCUUCUUUUCAUUCGCUUCUCUUUUUCUUUUUCUUAGUAUGUGCAGAGAGUGUGUUGUAAAAAGCGUUGGACUCCGCAGAGAGCGGGAUUCCAACUUUUCACUGCGCGCGACCGCGCGGACAGUAUUCCCCCCUCCCCGCUUAAGUCUCUAAAUUAGCUACACUUAAUAGUUAAUAGUACCGUAAUAUCAUCUCAAUAUAUAAAUAUAUACAUAUAAAUAUACAUGCAUAUAUAUUUAUAUUUAUAUAUGUAUAUAUCAUCGUGUAUUAGUUUAUCAUAAUAUAUAGAAAAUACAUAUAACAAUUAUUUAAAUGACUCACAAUCAAUCAUCUUGCCAUAGCGCGCGUAUACGACGAGCGUACAUGCGUACAGUGCUCGUACGCGUAUACGCGCCCAUGUGCAUAUCGUGUGUACAUAUAUAUUUAUAUAUAUAAUAUUUAUAUAUAUAAUAAAUAUAUAUAUAAAUCUAUAUAUAUAUCGAUGUGUUAAUUACAUGAUAUUUUUUUUACACUCGUCGUACAGAGGGAGGAAAAGGAUGGCGUGGAGGCUCGAGGGAGUGGAUGAGGAAUCGGGAAGGGGAUGGAGAGGGGGAUAGAUCUUUCACACAUUUACAUUGUUUCUCUGUCGUACUGCUAAUUUAUAGGGUAAUUCUCAUCGGUAUCUAGUCGAUAUCUUACAAACGUUUUUCUUUUUUUUUUGUCUAGCUUGUACUGUAGUACGUAUUCUUGCAUCUAGUGAACACGUCUCGUCGUCCUGUGUCCCGGCAGGCAUUUUCGCCGUGCCGCUCGUAGCGUCUGCCUUCGAUCAAUCUUUCCCUUCAGUUAUUUUUUACGUAUCGCGGUGUCUGCGCCUUUUUAACACGUGACAUUUGAAAACCUAUACUCUUAUACAUGCGGGUCUACGCAAUGAUACAGAUAUCUGAAAAGAAAAAGAGAGAGAAAGAUUUUUUUAAUGAUUUUUGACAUUAGCAUUUUAAUGCGAUCUUCGUAAAUAAAAUUACGUGAAUGAAUUAAAAAAGAUACAAUUAUUGAACGCGUGAAAAUAACUAUAUUAUUCUUUAACAAAAUAACACAUACAACUAAUAGAGUGAAUGGAAACAAAAUGCAUUUGAAACUAGUUGCUAAUCUUAUUCUCCUGCCGCAAAUCAGUAUGUAUUACAAGUUUCGUUUCCAUUUUGAUUUAGAGAACUUUUCGUAGUUCUCAUUGAUUUAAUUGUUAUGUCACGUUACAAAAGGUGGUUUCUCUUUCCUCUCUCUUUCCUUAUAUUUUUAAUGCCAUUGCAGAAGGUAUCAUGAAUUAUCGCAUAUAUUACGAACCGAGAAACACUCGGUAAUACUGAAAUAUUUGCGGCUGUGUUUCCUGAGACCUUCAUAGUUUUCGUGAUGUUUUUUAUUCGGUGACGUUACGAUUGAAUUCAGAGUCGCCUUCGUGUUUAUCUCGCGAAUGAUUAUCGUUACGCAUGUGCAUUGCAAUAUCUAUCGUUUGAUAUUAAAAUUCAGGCAUUUGAAUAUCUUUUCGCCUAAAAAAAUUUUAUGUUUCUUCUACUCUUAUGAUUUAUCUCUUAGUAUAAUAAGAGAUACAUUAACAGAUAAUAUAAUGCAGUUUUUUAUCUAAAGUUUAGCAAAAUUAAUAAGGAAUGUAUAGAUUUCCUUAUUAAUAUUUUGAUUCUCGCUUUGAUUAUCAUUUUCAUAAAUGGCGACCCUGAAAAAAAUCGCAUGUCAUACACGUGAUGAUUAUAUUCACAAAAGAUGGAUGUUCUCACUAUUUUCCAAUGAAACCAAACUUUUCGAAAUGUGCAUUUAGUUUUCGAUCAAAGUUGCAAGAUCAGUGAUUUUUGCGUCGUAAUAACGCAAAACGUAACGAGAUUUUUAAAUAUCUCCGAAGGAUUCGAUCGAAAACGAAAUUCACAAAAAGCCUCUCUCGCAUUCCAGCUUUCUUCCAAUCGUAAGCUAAGCAUAUCUAAAUUCGUCUACAGCUUUUAAACUGGAGAUACGAAGUUUCUAAGAACUUCUCCCCGCUGUCGAUUAAGACGCUUCGAAAGAUUGUUACAUUUUCUUUCUCUCUCUUUCUUUUUUUAAAAUGUUUCUAUUAUUGUUACAUUUUCUUUAUCUCUCUUUCUUUUUUUUUUUAAUGUUUCUAUUAUUGAGCGGAGAGGUAUUGCUAUGUGGUUAUCAAGAAGACUCAUUUU